rnacentral:lncRNA from 1 species
CAAAAGCUUCCCAAAAGAUCUGAUCCAACAGAAAUCCCGCAUUGAGCGUAGCUGAUAUGCGGCUACGGCUAGCCGAUCAUAUCAUUCCAUAAAAAAAAUCUAUAUGUAUAGAGAGAUCCCCUAGAUAUACAGAUAGAAUAGAUGUUCAUGGAUAGACAGACAUUCCAUUGAUUCUUUGUUUUUGGGCUGAAAAAGCUCGUCGAUCCAAAUGAAUCAUUCUUCUGGUCUCUCUUCGCUCCCCACCCCGAAACUGACCCACGGCACAGCGCCCAUUCGCUUCGCGCGCGGGAAGGCAACGAAGUUCAGUUCAUGAGACCGCAGCGCAGCGGA